GGAUUAGUGGCGAACGGGUGAGGAACACGUGAGAAACCUGCCCCAGACUUUGGGAUAACAAAUGGAAACGUUUGCUAAUACCAAAUACCGUCGGAGAGUCACAUGACUUUCUGACGAAAGGUAUUCCGGUUAGGGAUGAGCCCGCGGCCUAUCAGCUAGUUGGUGAGGUAGUGGCUCACCAAGGCGACGACGGGUAGCCGGCCUGAGAGGGCGACCGGCCACACUGGGACUGAGACACGGCCCAGACUCC
rnacentral:rRNA from 1 species